rnacentral:tRNA from 1 species
UCCCUGGUGGCUCAGAUGGUAAAGAAUCUGCCUUCAGUGCAGGAGACCCAGGUUCAAUCCCUGGGUUGGGAA